AAGUCGUAACAAGGUUUCCGUAGGUGAACCUGCGGAAGGAUCAUUAACACUUUUAUGUGCUACUCUAAACCAAACCCGGUGACCAAACCCUGCUCGUGGGUUAGAUUGUGUGGUGUGUGUGGAGAAACAAGAGAUCCAAUCUCUCGCUCUCUCUCUCACCCUCCCGUCUAGCUUCGCGAGGAUAAACAAUGAACCCCUCUUAUUUUAACCUUUAUUUUAACACUAACCUUCAUUUGCUGGUCUCCAUGCCAGUCAAUUAACAAAACGCGAACAACUCUUAGCAGUGGAUAUCUUGGUUCUC
rnacentral:misc_RNA from 1 species